AGUGAACGCUGGCGGUAGGCCUAACACAUGCAAGUCGAACGGCAGCAUAGGAGAGCUUGCUCUCUGGGUGGCGAGUGGCGGACGGGUGAGGAAUACAUCGGAAUCUACUCUGUCGUGGGGGAUAACGUAGGGAAACUUACGCUAAUACCGCAUACGACCUACGGGUGAAAGCAGGGGAUCUUCGGACCUUGCGCGAUUGAAUGAGCCGAUGUCGGAUUAGCUAGUUGGCGGGGUAAAGGCCCACCAAGGCGACGAUCCGUAGCUGGUCUGGGAGGAUGAUCAGCCACACUGGAAAUGAGACACGGUCCAGACUCCUACGGGAGGCAGCAGUGGGGAAUAUUGGACAAUGGGCGCAAGCCUGAUCCAGCCAUACCGCGUGGGUGAAGAAGGCCUUCGGGUUGUAAAGCCCUUUUGUUGGGAAAGAAAUCCAGCUGGUUAAUAUCCGGUUGGGAUGACGGUACCCAAAGAAUAAGCACCGGCUAACUUCGUGCCAGCCGCCGCCGUAA
rnacentral:rRNA from 1 species